rnacentral:rRNA from 1 species
GACGAACGCUGGUUGCGUGCUUAACACAUGCAAGUCGAACGGAAAGGCCCUGCUUUUGUGGGGUGCUCGAGUGGCGAACGGGUGAGUAACACGUGAGUAACCUGCCCUUGACUUUGGGAUAACUUCAGGAAACUGGGGCUAAUACCGGAUAGGAGCUCCUGCUGCAUGGUGGGGGUUGGAAAGUUUCGGCGGUUGGGGAUGGACUCGCGGCUUAUCAGCUUGUUGGUGGGGUAGUGGCUUACCAAGGCUUUGACGGGUAGCCGGCCUGAGAGGGUGACCGGCCACAUUGGGACUGAGAUACGGCCCAGACUCCUACGGGAGGCAGCAGUGGGGAAUAUUGCACAAUGGGCGGAAGCCUGAUGCAGCAACGCCGCGUGCGGGAUGACGGCCUUCGGGUUGUAAACCGCUUUCGCCUGUGACGAAGCGUGAGUGACGGUAAUGGGUAAAGAAGCACCGGCUAACUACGUGCCAGCAGCCGCGGUGAUACGUAGGGUGCGAGCGUUGUCCGGAUUUAUUGGGCGUAAAGGGCUCGUAGGUGGUUGAUCGCGUCGGAAGUGUAAUCUUGGGGCUUAACCCUGAGCGUGCUUUCGAUACGGGUUGACUUGAGGAAGGUAGGGGAGAAUGGAAUUCCUGGUGGAGCGGUGGAAUGCGCAGAUAUCAGGAGGAACACCAGUGGCGAAGGCGGUUCUCUGGGCCUUUCCUGACGCUGAGGAGCGAAAGCGUGGGGAGCGAACAGGCUUAGAUACCCUGGUAGUCCACGCUGUAAACGGUGGGUACUAGGUGUGGGGUCCAUUCCACGGGUUCCGUGCCGUAGCUAACGCUUUAAGUACCCCGCCUGGGGAGUACGGCCGCAAGGCUAAAACUCAAAGGAAUUGACGGGGCCCCGCACAAGCGGCGGAGCAUGCGGAUUAAUUCGAUGCAACGCGUAGAACCUUACCUGGGUUUGACAUGGAUCGGGAGUGCUCAGAGAUGGGUGUGCCUCUUUUGGGGUCGGUUCACAGGUGGUGCAUGGCUGUCGUCAGCUCGUGUCGUGAGAUGUUGGGUUAAGUCCCGCAACGAGCGCAACCCUUGUUCACUGUUGCCAGCACGUUAUGGUGGGGACUCAGUGGAGACCGCCGGGGUCAACUCGGAGGAAGGUGGGGAUGACGUCAAGUCAUCAUGCCCCUUAUGUCCAGGGCUUCACGCAUGCUACAAUGGCUGGUACAGAGAGUGGCGAGCCUGUGAGGGUGAGCGAAUCUCGGAAAGCCGGUCUCAGUUCGGAUUGGGGUCUGCAACUCGACCUCAUGAAGUCGGAGUCGCUCGUAAUCGCAGAUCAGCAACGCUGCGGUGAAUACGUUCCCGGG